AGAGUUUGAUCCUGGCUCAGGACGAACGCUGGCGGCGCGCCUAACACAUGCAAGUCGAACGGAGCUGAGAGGAGCUUGCUUUUCUUAGCUUAGUGGCGAACGGGUGAGUAACGCGUGAGUAACCUGCCCUGGAGUGGGGGACAACAGUUGGAAACGACUGCUAAUACCGCAUAAGCCCACGGUACCGCAUGGUACUGAGGGAAAAGGAUUUAUUCGCUUUAGGAUGGACUCGCGUCCAAUUAGCUAGUUGGUGAGGUAACGGCCCACCAAGGCGACGAUUGGUAGCCGGACUGAGAGGUUGAACGGCCACAUUGGGACUGAGACACGGCCCAGACUCCUACGGGAGGCAGCAGUGGGGGAUAUUGCACAAUGGGGGAAACCCUGAUGCAGCGACGCCGCGUGGAGGAAGAAGGUCUUCGGAUUGUAAACUCCUGUUGUUGAGGAAGAUAAUGACGGUACUCAACAAGGAAGUGACGGCUAACUACGUGCCAGCAGCCGCGGUAAAACGUAGGUCACAAGCGUUGUCCGGAAUUACUGGGUGUAAAGGGAGCGCAGGCGGGAAGACAAGUUGGAAGUGAAAUCUAUGGGCUCAACCCAUAAACUGCUUUCAAAACUGUUUUUCUUGAGUAGUGCAGAGGUAGGCGGAAUUCCCGGUGUAGCGGUGGAAUGCGUAGAUAUCGGGAGGAACACCAGUGGCGAAGGCGGCCUACUGGGCACCAACUGACGCUGAGGCUCGAAAGUGUGGGUAGCAAACAGGAUUAGAUACCCUGGUAGUCCACACCGUAAACGAUGAUUACUAGGUGUUGGAGGAUUGACCCCUUCAGUGCCGCAGUUAACACAAUAAGUAAUCCACCUGGGGAGUACGACCGCAAGGUUGAAACUCAAAGGAAUUGACGGGGGCCCGCACAAGCAGUGGAGUAU
rnacentral:rRNA from 1 species